AGUGUGUUUCUGGUGGUCAUGAUGUCAGAAGUCUAUGGAGAUAAAGGGUUAACACGAGUCCAGUGUGUUUCUGGUGGUCAUGAUGUCAGAAGUCUAUGGAGUUAAAAGGGUUAUCACGAAUCCAGUGUGUUUCUGGUGGUCAUGAUGUCAGAAGUCUAUGGAGUUAAAAGGGUUAACACGAAUCCAGUGUGUUUCUGAUGGUCAUGAUGUCAGAAGUCUAUGGAGUUAAAAGGGUUAACACGAGUCCAGUGUGUUUCUGGUGGUCAUGAUGUCAGAAGUCUAUGGAGUUAAGAGGGUUAUCACGAAUCCAGUGUGUUUCUGGUGGUCAUGAUGUCAGAAGUCUAUGGAGUUAAAAGGGUUAUCACGAAUCCAGUGUGUUUCUGGUGGUCAUGAUGUCAGAAGUCUAUGGAGAUAAAGGGUUAUCACGAAUCCAGUGUGUUUCUGGUGGUCAUGAUGUCAGAAGUCUAUGGAGUUAAAAGAGUUAACAUGAAUCCAGUGUGUUUCUGGUCGUCAUUAUGUUUGUAUUGCUCAAAAUGUAAAUUAUGUGAAACAAAAGGUGUGUACUUCAAGAUCUAGAGUUAGUGACUUUAAUAUUAAGAUAUAUGUAAUACUUUUAACAAUGAUCCCGAGUCGUGGGGUAUGGUAUGCCACUCCUGGAUGAGCACCACCACUUCCUAGUGAUAGGUUAUCAGUUUUGAUGGGCUCUCUGUCGAUGACUAACAAUAUACAAUGGGUGACAUAGAAAUAUAGAACAGAAGACUUUUACAAACUACUGUGAUAAAUUUAUUGUUAUUUAUUUUCAUAUUAUUAUUACUGAUAGACGUUUACAUAUUAUAUAUCUGUUAAUUUUUGUUAUGUAUAUUUACAUGUACUUUGUUGUGAACAUUAUAAUGUGUGAUAAUAAAAUUAUAAUUGAAAAAUAA